GUGCCAGCCGCCGCGGUAAUACCGGCAGCUCGAGUGAUGGCCGAUGUUAUUGGGCCUAAAGCGUCCGUAGCCGGCCGGACGAGUCCGUCGGGAAAUCCACGUGCUCAACGCGUGGGCGUCCGGCGGAAACUGUUCGGCUUGGGGCCGGAAGACCCGAGGGGUACGUCUGGGGUAGGAGUGAAAUCCUGUAAUCCUGGACGGACCGCCGGUGGCGAAAGCGCCUCGGGAAGACGGACCCGACGGUGAGGGACGAAAGCUAGGGUCUCGAACCGGAUUAGAAACCCGAGUAGUCC
rnacentral:rRNA from 1 species